ensembl:lncRNA
GCCCCGCCCUCACCCCCCACUGUGUUUACCUGCUUGUUCUCUGAAAGCUUUUAGGACUUUCUUUUUAAAAAAUCUCUGAUGUCUUAAAUUUUACAUCAUGGCUUGUAGUUGGCCAGCUUUCAUAAAACAGGGAAGCUAUUGUUCACCUUGACUGGUUAUAUUGAAGUCCUUGUGAGGGGAAAAGGACCAUCAAAGAGAAGAUCCCUGAGUGCUGGUAACAAUGCAGGGCUAUUUAAAGGUAAUUCAAAUGAAAACCAGAUAAGAAGUUCAGUUUUUAUGAGCAGGUCAGAUUUUGCAUGCCUGGACCCCAAACCCUAAUCUGACUCCCUGUCAUCAGGUGGAUUCUUUACCACUAGCACCAGCUGGGAGCCCCGUAUUCAGAAGUACGUUUCCCUAAAUCUGACAUAUUCAGUCUGGAAGAGUUACACAAAGACCAGCCAAAGCUUUGAAAAGGUUGCUUCAGAGCCUGACUGGAUUCUUCCACAAACCUCCACCCUCCCUCUUUGUGCUGGGAACUAGGAGGUGUUUUUGUUUUCUGUUAAUAGUAGUGAAGAGUCCAACACAGAGUAGGUGUUCAAUAAAGGUACAUUAAGAAGCUCUAAUCAGGGACUUCUCUGGUGGCACAGAGGAUAAGAAUCUGCCUGAAGGUGCAGGGGAAACUGGUUCGAUCUCAGGUCCAGGAAGAUUCCACAUGUCUUGAAGCAGCUAAGCCUUUGCAUCACAACUACUGAGCCCACAUUCUAGAGCCCAUGUGCUGCAACUACUGAAGCCUGCAUGCCUGGAGCCUGUGCUCCACAAGAGAAGCUUCUGCGAUGAGAAACCCACACAUCACAAGGAAGAGCAGCACCUGCUUGCUGCAACUAGAGAAAGCCUGAGCAAAAGCAAUGACGUCCAGGUCCAGUGGCUAAGAAUCCGCUUGCCAAAGCAGAGGAUAUGGGUUCCAUCCUGGUCCAGGAAGAUUCCACACGCUGUAAGGCAACUGAGCCCCUGCACCACAACUACUGAGCCCACACUCUAGAGCCUGUGUGAUUCAACAGGAGAAGACAGCACAAUGAGAAGACUAAGCACGACUUGAGAGUAGCCCCUACUCUCUGCAACAAGACAAAGCCCACAGACAGCAAGGA